rnacentral:rRNA from 1 species
GAUGAACGCUAGUGGCAGGCCUAAUACAUGCAAGUCGAACGGUGUCUUCGGACAUAGUGGCGCACGGGUGCGUAACACGUAUGCAACCUACCUUACAUUGGGGGAUAGCCUUUCGAAAGGGAGAUUAAUACCGCAUAAGACAGUAGCUGGGCAUCCAGCAGCUGUUAAAGAUUUAUCGAUGUAAGCUGGGCAUGCGUCCAAUUAGCUAGUUGGGGAGGUAACGGCUAACCAAGGGAAUGAUUGGUAGGGGAACUGAGAGGUCAAUCCCCCACACUGGCACUGAGAUACGGGCCAGACUCCUACGGGAGGCAGCAGUAGGGAAUAUUGGGCAAUGGACGCAAGUCUGACCCAGCCAUGCCGCGUGCAGGAUGAAGGCGUUAUGCGUUGUAAACUGCUUUUAUACCGGAAGAAACGACUCUUGCGAGAGGCAUUGACGGUACUGUAUGAAUAAGCACCGGCUAACUCCGUGCCAGCAGCCGCCGUAAUAC